GGUGCUCUAACGGGGUGCCUGGGCGGGAUCGCGCAGGCUGAGAGGCAGACGGGCCAGUCCCUGCCAACCCGCCGAACCUGAUCCGGCUUGUACCGGCGGAGGGAUUAGACGCUCCUUGCAA
rnacentral:ncRNA from 2 species